UACGUAGGUGACAAGCGUUGUCCGGAUUUACUGGGCGUAAAGAGCGCGCAGGCGGUCGAUCAAGUCGAGUGUGAAAGCCCCCGGCUCAACUGGGGAGGGUCAUUCGAUACUGAUCGACUCGAAGGCAGGAGAGGGUAGUGGAAUUCCCGGUGUAGUGGUGAAAUGUGUUGAUAUCGGAAGGAACGCCGGUGGCGAAAGCGACACACUGGGUCUCAACUGACGCUGAGGCACGAAAGCCAGGGGAGCAAACGGG
rnacentral:rRNA from 1 species